rnacentral:rRNA from 1 species
UGGGGAAUAUUGCACAAUGGGCGCAAGCCUGAUGCAGCCAUGCCGCGUGUAUGAAGAAGGCCUUCGGGUUGUAAAGUACUUUCAGCGAGGAGGAAGGCGGUAAGGUUAAUAACCUUAUCGAUUGACGUUACUCGCAGAAGAAGCACCGGCUAACUCCGUGCCAGCAGCCGCGGUAAUACGGAGGGUGCAAGCGUUAAUCGGAAUUACUGGGCGUAAAGCGCACGCAGGCGGUCUGUCAAGUCGGAUGGGAAAUCCCCGGGCUCAACCUGGGAACUGCAUUCGAAACUGGCAGGCUAGAGUCUUGUAGAGGGGGGUAGAAUUCCAGGUGUAGCGGUGAAAUGCGUAGAGAUCUGGAGGAAUACCGGUGGCGAAGGCGGCCCCCUGGACAAAGACUGACGCUCAGGUGCGAAAGCGUGGGGAGCAAACA